GACGAACGCUGGCGGCGUGCCUAACACAUGCAAGUCGAGCGAAUGAAGUUCCUUCGGGAACGGAUUUAGCGGCGGACGGGUGAGUAACACGUGGGCAACCUGCCUCAUAGAGGGGAAUAGCCUUCCGAAAGGGAGAUUAAUACCGCAUAAGAUUGUAGUACCGCAUGGUACAGCAAUUAAAGGAGCAAUCCGCUAUGAGAUGGGCCCGCGGCGCAUUAGCUAGUUGGUGAGGUAACGGCUCGACCAAGGCGACGAUGCGUAGCCGACCUGAGAGGGUNAUCGGCCACAUUGGGACUGAGACACGGCCCAGACUCCUACGGAGGCAGCA
rnacentral:rRNA from 1 species